UACGUAGGGUGCAAGCGUUGUCCGGAAUUAUUGGGCGUAAAGAGCUCGUAGGCGGUUUGUCGCGUCUGCUGUGAAAAUCCAGGGCUUAACCUUGGACCUGCAGUGGGUACGGGCAGACUGGAGUGCGGUAGGGGAGAUCGGAAUUCCUGGUGUAGCGGUGAAAUGCGCAGAUAUCAGGAGGAACACCGGUGGCGAAGGCGGAUCUCUGGGCCGUAGCUGACGCUGAGGCGCGAAAGCCAGGGGAGCAAACGGG
rnacentral:rRNA from 1 species